AAUCAUUUUGUGGCUAAGAUUUUGUGUUACUUCAUAGUCCAGUCCAUACCAAAAGCCAGAUCAACAUGUAUUAUGUAAACUCUGUACACCCAAAACAAAUGGCUGUUGCACAUAUUUCAGACCAUAUUCCCGGCUUAAUUCCCGGCCUGUGUGUCAGUUCCCGGCGACGGCACAUCACCAAACCCGCCGGAAUUUAUGUCUGUCCUCCCAAACAAUUUAGGAAUGGAAACUUCGUGAUUAAAACUGACCAAAAAUUCAGGUGGGUUGUUAAACUUAGCUUAGUAGACCAAAGCCCGCCAAAAUCAACAAUCGAUGCGAAACGCCUGGUGGACUUCUUGUACGAGGACCUACCACACCUCUUUGAUGAUCAAGGGAUCGAUCGGACGGCGUACGAUGAACGCGUCAAGUUUCGGGACCCAAUCACGAAGCAUGACAGUAUAAGUGGGUAUCUCUUCAACAUAGCCCUUUUAAAGAAUCUCUUCACGCCUGAUUUCCAGUUGCACUGGGUCAAACAGACAGGACCUUAUGAAAUGACUACAAGGUGGACUAUGGUAAUGAGGUUCAUUAUUCUGCCAUGGAAACCAGAAUUGGUUUUCACAGGAACUUCUGUUAUGGGCAUCAACCCAGAGACAGAGAAGUUCUGCAGCCAUGUGGACUAUUGGGAUUCUAUAGAGAAAAAUGACUACUUUUCUCUAGAAGGUUUAUGGGAUGUAAUGAAGCAGCUGCGGGUUUACAAGACUCCAGAACUGGAAUCACCCAAAUAUCAGAUACUGAAAAGGACUGCAAAAUAUGAGGUAAGAAAGUACACCCCAUUCAUAGUUGUAGAAGCAGAUGGUGAUAAGCUGUCUGGGUCAACCGGCUUUAAUGCUGUUACAGGGUAUAUUUUUGGGAAGAAUUCCACAAUGGAGAAGAUACCCAUGACUACUCCUGUCUUCACUCAAGCAAUUGAUGCUGAAAUGUCCAAAGUAUCUAUUCAAAUAGUUCUUCCAUCUGAGAAAGAUAUGAGCAGCUUACCAGAUCCCAAUCAAGAAUCAAUUAGCUUGAGGAAAGUGGAAGGAGGCAUUGCUGCAGUUUCAAAGUUCAGUGGAAAACCUACAGAGGAUAUUGUUUGUGAGAAGGAAAAAGCACUUCGCUCCAGUCUUAUUAGAGAUGGUCUUAGACCUAAAAAGGGUUGCUUGCUUGCUCGCUACAACGAUCCUGGUCGAACAUGGAGCUUUAUAAUGGACUAAACGAUUGUUCUUCUAUGAGGAGUUUCCAAUUUUGAUGUUUGUGACAUUAGAUUCAUCUUAAAGUCCACAUCCCAGAGGAAUGAAGUUAUUAUAUGGCUGGAGGACUUCACACUGGACUAAUAUUUUGGCCAUCCACUAGCACAUUGUGUUGAUCAAUAUCGACAUACCUUCAAGUUGCCAGGAGAGGUCAUUUCAGCUGAAUUGUAAUCAUAUAAACACCGUAGCAAACCUCCAAAGAAUAUUUAUUUCAUCUGUACAAGGAUUUCGAUUACUUACACUGGAUGGUUGUAAAGAGUCAUACCUGAAUAAUUGUACUAAAAGCUUCUUUCAGCAAAUCAAAGAGAAGUAGUUCAAGUA